rnacentral:lncRNA from 1 species
UGGCUUCUGUUUGGGGUCUGCGCUUGUCUUGCGCCGAUGCCGAUGGAUGAAUUUGAUGACGUUAACCUCGAUGCUGAUAAUAAAACCGAUGCUUCUUUAAAUUCAGAUGAAAAGAGUAGUAAUCAUUUGUCUUCAGUUGCUGCCGCUGAUAAUUACAAGGUUACAGGUUAGUUGUAAUUCAUUAACUAAUUUUAAUUACUGCAAAUUAGUUUUUACUAUAAAAAAUGAAUGAAUUUGAAUGUAUAUUUGAUAUACAUGGAUUUUAGCGGAGGGCGAUACUCAGUUUUCAAUAUUAAAAAUUGAAUUUGAAUUUAUAUUUGAUAUGCUGCAGGGAUUUUAGCGGAUGGACGAUGCCUGUUCAGAGCAAUAGCUCAUGGAGCUUGUCUGAGGUCUGGAGAAGAAGCUCCUGAUGAAAACCGUCAAAGAGAACUUGCUGAUGAAUUGAGAGCUCAGGUAAUCACGAGGAGGUUUUUU